CAACGGACCCUACCUCUUGUAGUGAUUCUCGGGGCCACGGGCACCGGCAAAUCCACGCUGGCGUUGCAGCUAGGCCAGCGGCUCGGCGGUGAGAUCGUCAGCGCUGACUCCAUGCACGCACAUAAAAUCCAAAUCCCACUUGAACCAACUGAAGAAAAGAAGAAGAUUGGACUCAGAUGCUGUCAACACCAUAGAAAGUCAGAGUGUUUCCCCAGACCAUAACAAAGAACCUAAAGAGAAGGGAUCCCCAGGGCAGAAUGAUCAAGAGCUGAAAUGCAGCGUUUAAGAGACAUGUCCAGUGGCCUUUGGAAAGGU
rnacentral:lncRNA from 1 species